CCUACGGGUGGCAGCAGUAGGGAAUUUUCGUCAAUGGGCACAAGCCUGAACGAGCAAUGCCGCGUGAACGAGGAAGGUCUUCGGAUCGUAAAGUUCUGUUGAAGGGGAAAAAGAGCGGAGAGAGGAAAUGAACUCCGAUUGAUAUUACCCUUCGAGGAAGUCACGGCUAACUACGUGCCAGCAGCCGCGGUAAUACGUAGGUGGCGAGCGUUAUCCGGAAUGAUUGGGCGAAAAGGGUGCGUAGGCGGCCUGCUAAGUAUGGGGUAAAAGGUACCGGCUCAACCGGUACAGGAUCUGGAAACUGGCGGCCUAGAGGACAGGAGAGGGCGGUGGAACUCCAUGUGUAGCGGUAAAAUGCGUAGAUAUAUGGAAGAACACCAGUGGCGAAGGCGGCCGCCUGGCCUGUUACUGACGCUGAGGCACGAAAGCGUGGGGAGCAAAUAGGAUUAGAUACCCCAGUAGUC
rnacentral:rRNA from 1 species